rnacentral:rRNA from 1 species
GGAGCAUGUGGUUUAAUUCGAAGCAACGCGAAGAACCUUACCAGGCCUUGACAUGCAGAGAACUUUCCAGAGAUGGAUUGGUGGCCUUCGGGAACUCUGACACAGGUGCUGCAUGGCUGUCGUCAGCUCGUGUCGUGAGAUGUUGGGUUAAGUCCGUAACGAGCGCAACCCUUGUCCUUAGUUACCAGCACGUUAUGGUGGGCACUCUAAAGGGACUGCCGGUGUUAAACCGGAGGAAGGUGGGGAUGACGUCAAGUCCUCAUGGCCUUUAUGACCAGGGCUACACACGUACUACAAUGGCCGAUACAAAGGGCAGCGACACUGCGAGGUGAAGCCAAUCCCGUAAAAUCGGUCUCAGUCCGGAUUGGAGUCUGCAACUCGACUCCAUGAAGUUGGAAUCGCUAGUAAUCGUGGAUCAGCAUACCACGGUGAAUACGUUCCCGGGCCUU